rnacentral:rRNA from 1 species
AUUGAACGCUGGCGGCAUGCUUUACACAUGCAAGUCGAACGGUAACAGGCCUUCGGGUGCUGACGAGUGGCGAACGGGUGAGUAAUGCAUCGGAACGUACCCAGAGGUGGGGGAUAACGCAGCGAAAGCUGUGCUAAUACCGCAUGUGAUCUGAGGAUGAAAGCGGGGGACCGAGCAGCAAUGUUUGGCCUCGCGCCUUUGGAGCGGCCGAUGUCGGAUUAGCUAGUUGGUGGGGUAAAGGCCUACCAAGGCGACGAUCCGUAGCUGGUCUGAGAGGACGACCAGCCACACUGCGACUGAGACACGGCCCAGACUCCUACGGGAGGCAGCAGUGGGGAAUUUUGGACAAUGGGCGCAAGCCUGAUCCAGCAAUGCCGCGUGCGGGAAGAAGGCCUUCGGGUUGUAAACCGCUUUUGGCAGGAACGAAACGGUGUCCGCUAAUACCGGGCGCUAAUGACGGUACCUGCAGAAUAAGCACCGGCUAACUACGUG